AAUACCGCAUAACGUCUACGGACCAAGGGGGGAUUCAUUAUGAACUCCGCCAUUGAUUAGCCCAAGUGAGAUUAGCUAGUUGGUGAGGUAAGGGCUCGCCAAGGCGACGAUCUCUAGCUGGUUUGAGUGGAUGAUCAGCCACACUGGGACUGAGACACGGCCCAG
rnacentral:rRNA from 1 species